AACAUGCAGCGCCCUUCUGCUUUCAGUGGGGUCACAGACAAAUGGAAGUGUCCACUCACUUGGAGAUGGAUGCUAGAAAGGUUGGGAAGCCUAUCUAGGGUGCUGUGGUAUUAGAGCCCAUGGGAGUGUGUCAAGUGCUCAGCACCUAUGAGGACAACAGCCAUCUAAGUACUGGGAGAGAAAAGAAGAACCCAAAAAGGUCAGCUGUGAGGAGGAAAAGAGCAGCAAAUGAGGAGAGAGAGUCCUUUACAUCUAUGUGCUGACCCUGCACCACACCACAAUAUUGUCAUAUCUCUUGUCAUCAUACCUCAAGAACCAUAGGGCUGGAAGCAUCUUCAAGAGUAGUAGUCCUGCCAAAAAUCUCAAGGAGACCAUACUUAAUUCAAGUUAUAUAUUACACAGUUGGUACCAGACUGCCCUCUUCCUCUUCUGGAUAAUCCCACAGGAGACAGAGAACACAAGUCUAUGAGGAUCCCUUCCAGAUCAUUUCUAUGCAUCAAUCAGGCAAUGGGGAGGAUUUUGCCCAGAUUUUGCAGUCCUUUCAGAAAUAAAAAUCCCAGUAAUGCUAGUGGGAGUUAUGUGCAUCAAAAUACAGCAAGACUUGAGAACUGAGGAAAGCGCAGAAAAAGAAUAAAAGUAGUUAUAUUAUAUUGUAGUUAAAAAGUGCAUUUUUGUUGGGAAUGGGAUCUGAACCAAAAAGUUUUGGUUCAAGCAUGGAUUGAAACAUUCCUAAAUUCAUGGGUGUUUGGAUGAAAGGGGUCAGAAUCCAACUGCAAAUGUCAGAUGUAGAUUCAGACUUUCCCAAAUUGCUAGGCUUUUCAAACUGGCAAUAUUUGAUUCAAGCAAUUCUUUGAAGAGUGAUGCAAAUCAAUUUGUAUCCAUGUCCCAUCGCAAUUUUCUUGAAGCAUCUCUCUGCAGCAGAGCA